AGUUUAUUGAAAAAAGUUGCUUUAAUUUCCCCAUUUAUUUAUAUUUUAAUUUUAGCUCCGUACAUUCGUUUGCAAGGCAAAUAAGAUGUCGAUAUUGGAAUACUCAGAAAAGUUUUCCCACUCGAAAGCGUCUCUCAAAAAAGUGCAUCGCUGUGAAUUAUGUCCCUACAUUACAACAUCAUUUUUUCUCUUUGUGAACCACCGUCGACGUCAUUAUUCUUCAGCCUUAUUUAACUGUGAAACUACCCAAAUUGAAAAUUACUACUGCAGCGACUGUGAAUUCCACACAGACCUAACACUCCUUAUGAAAAAACACAUCAAUGAGUGUCACAACAUGCAAAGAAAAAACGUGUGGAAUGAGAAUUUCACCAGUGGAAACUAUGUGUGUAGAAAAUGCAGCUUCGAAACACAUUUUUCUUUAAAGUGGCUUCAACAUACUUCUAAAGAAUGUUUAAUAAACCCUAUAAAGAAUCCACCCAAAUGGCGUAAUUGUGAUGAAUGUGAAUUUAAGACCAAAUAUCAGCAUAGUUUACUUAGACACAAAAAAAGAAGACAUGAAGGGGCACACAAAAACCUGAAACACACAAAUAACGAAAUUCAGUGGUACCAAUGCAGUGAAUGUCCCUAUAAAUCUAAACGUAAGCGCUAUUUAAAAAUACACAUAAACAUAUUACACUUGGAUGAGCAACAUAUUAAAUGGUAUGAAUGUAAAGAGUGUUCACACAAAACUAAAAGCUCCUCUACUUUAAAAACUCACAUGAAUGCACACCAUUUGCGUGAACAAGACAUUAAGUGGUACAAAUGCACAGAGUGUGCAUUUAAAGCUAAACAGAAGCGCAAUUUAACAGUUCACAUAAAUGCGUUCCACUUGGAUGAGCAAGACAUUAAAUGGUAUCACUGUAAAGAGUGUUCACAUAAAAAUAAAAGCUAUCCUGCUUUAAAAAGCCAUAUGAAUAGACACCAUUUGCGUGAAGAAGACAUUAAAUGGUAUGAAUGUACUAAAUGUGCAUAUAAAACUAAACACAAAUGCAAUCUAAAACAACACAUAACUGCCUUGCAUGUGGAUAAACAAAAUAUUAAAUGGUACGAAUGUAAAGAGUGUCCAUAUAAAACUAAACGCAAAGGGGAUUUACUAAAGCACAUGAAGUCGCGCUAUUUGGAUGAAGGAGUGAUAAAAUGGCACAAAUGUACAAGUGACGAUAAAAACUAAAGUAAAAAAAAACUAUGAAGAAUGUACAUAUUAAUAUU